UAAGACAGAGGUGCCAAGCGUUAGGCGGAAUCACUGGGCUUAAAGCGUGUGUAGGCGGAUCGUUAAGUACCUUGUGAAAUCCCACGGCUCAACCGUGGAACUGCUCGGUAUACUGGCGAUCUUGAGCCACCUAGGGGCAACUGGAACAAGCGGUGGAGCGGUGAAAUGCGUAGAUAUCGCUUGGAACGCCAACGGUGAAAACAGGUUGCUGGGGGUGUGCUGACGCUGAGACACGAAAGCCAGGGGAGCGAACGGGAUUAGAUACCCCGGUAGUCCUGGCCGUAAACGAUGAGCACUGGGCCGGAGGACUGCACAGUUUUCCGGCCGUAGCGAAAGUGUUAAGUGCUCCGCCUGGGGAGUAUGGUCGCAAGGCUG
rnacentral:rRNA from 1 species